rnacentral:rRNA from 1 species
UACGUAGGGUGCGAGCGUUGUCCGGAUUUAUUGGGCGUAAAGAGCUUGUAGGCGGCUCGUCGCGUCGGGUGUGAAAACUUGCGGCUUAACCGCGAAGCCUGCACCCGAUACGGGCGGGCUAGAGUUCGGCAGGGGAGACUGGAAUUCCUGGUGUAGCGGUGGAAUGCGCAGAUAUCAGGAGGAACACCGGUGGCGAAGGCGGGUCUCUGGGCCGAUACUGACGCUGAGAAGCGAAAGCGUGGGGAGCGAACAGG